ensembl:lncRNA
UUUAAGUUCGUUCUUUUGCAGCAUAUGUUCUAUCUUUAUAUAAGAAAAAAUAUAUAAUGGAGGUCAUUUUUUAAAAAGAAAAAUCACCUUUAUUUUUCUACAGAAGUAUAUGAAAAAAAAUUGCUGGGUGUCCAUUCACUUCAAUUCAUUUAUUUGAAUAAAUUAUGAAAAUUCUGAUGUUUUAAAAUUCUCAUUUUCUCCAGCAUGGUAUAAAGAUUUAUUUGGUCUAUCAUCACAGGAAUGCCAGAAUGUUGAAGAACUGAAGAACAUAAGUGUGAAAGUUACACCAUAAGGUAAGAAAAAAUGUAAUAAACUAUGAAAAUUUAAAAAAAAAAGCAUCCAACAGUCUGAAACAGCAAAAGAACUUGGGGGCCAAGCAUAGGGAUAUUACGAUGAAAAGUGGCAAUGAAAUAUGGAUAAGGAGCAACACUGGCAAAAUGUGUAAAAACUAAGAUAAUGGAAAGAGAUGAAUAAUGGAAAUGGUGAUGGAGGAAGCAUACAGUUUUUCUUUGCCUCUAAGAUGAUUAUUGAAUAAUUCUGAUAGAAUAUUGCCUGUAUUCAUUUCAAUAGAAUAGAGAAUAAAGAAGGAUCUGUGUUUCUGGAAUUAAAAAUAUUGUGGACCUUCAUGAUUUUUUGUGAUUUGUCAGGUGAAUAGUUUAUUAUGUCAGAAGGCAUUAUUGUAUGAUGGUUUAAAGAAUGGACUUUGGAGACAGCCAAGAGCUCAAAUCCUGGCUCUCCAACUUCCUAUUAUGCUUAUGAUCUUGGCAAUGAAGUAUCAGAGCCACCUCCUACUGGCUCAUGAUAGCUGAUUAUGUGCACCUCUUCCCAACAUCAUGUUCACUGACAUCACACUGGUAAUUUGAAAUCAGCCAAGUUGAGAUUAGUUACAUUGCAAAAACUGGCAAACCAUAAAAAUCAGGGCUUUUCCCCUCAAUGUUCCAGCUUAUCAGCACACCCCUGGACCUUGGGCAAUUCCCUAAUCCUUCUGAGCUUUAGUUUUUUCAUCUGAGAAGAAAAAAUAAAUAUGGCAAGUCCUCACAAUAUUCUGCAGACCUUUCCAUGGGUGAUAUAUUUCACAUGAUGCCUGGUAACUAGUAUAAACAUCAAUAAUGGUAGCACUCUAGUAAUUUAAUUCAGCCUAUUACACAAAACACUGAGCCAUUUUGCCUUUCUAACACACUGGAAAGCAUUUCAAUUAGUUCAUCAAAAUUCCAGAAGAGAAGUAUUUAUAAAAAUUAUUCUACUGACUUUACAGAUGGAAGGAUUUAUUCUAUAUGUUUUUAGAUUUUGUAAAGAAGACAAUUGCUAAUAGUUACUUAGUAAAAUUUCUUCUGUAUGAUAAGUUUUAAAAAGUUACUUCUGUUUCCUACAGUGACUUAUAUCUGAAGGGCGUCCUUUGGGGUUUUAGCCCACCAUCCCCUAAAUCAGAUUAAAUUCAUGGCUUUAGCUCUUCAAAAUUUGUUGAUAAGGUAAUAUAAAGACUGAUGUUGGUUGUAUACCCCACUGUUUGGAAAGCUCAAACAGAAAAUUCUGAGCCACAGGCCACUAUGUCUAUCAAGAUGACAGGCAGUAUGUAUACCUUGAAACUUUGAAGGUAGGCACUGCAGGAAUAAGGAAUUUAAGAAAAGAUUAAACAGCCUAGAGAUAACCCUGCUUAGUUGCCUACUUAACAACUCUCUCAUCUUGGUAUUCUUCAAUAUGGAUUUAUUCUUAAGAUCUUUGCUUCAUAUCUUCGGCCUUGGAAUAUAAUUCUUCAUAAUGUUUUAAUAUAAGUUAUAUCUACCCUGUUUCCACUAUAGCCUACAAAGUAUGAAGAUCAUUUUCCUGUUAAAAUUAUUAAGUUGAAUUGUAAUGUCCUUUAGUAUUUCAAAGACUUCAUGGUAAAUUGCUUACAAAGAUGACUAAAAUAAUCUUUCCCAUCCCUGUCUGCACACACAUUUUGUGCUAUGAUUUUGCUAUUUCUUUCAUCAAGAGCUAAAGUUUCUCUACCCCUUCAAUCCAGGCUUUGUCAAGUGGCUUGCCUUGGCCAAUAAGACGUUAGAAAACAAGAUGAACAUAGAAAUUUGACAAGCACUUGUACAUCUAGGCUUACUGUUUUGCUGUCCUACGACUGACAUAUGAAGAAGCUUGAGCUAGCGUCCUGGAGGAUGAGAGACCACAGGAGGAUAGAGAUGAGCCAUGCCAGCUAAGGUUCUCUAGACUCACCAACUUCUAAAGAGCAGGAAAAAUGUGCAAGGCCAUUCUAUAUUAUGUAGCCUUCGAUGACCUCUCUGCUAACUGGAUAAUCAACUUAUCAUUGCACAGAAUCAGAAGCAAAAUAGAAUAGUUGUUGUAUGAAGCCAGGGGUCAGUCAAAAAAUGCAUGCGUUUUUUCAGGGUCAAUAAUCUCUUUUACGGCAAAAACAAUACCAUUUCAGUUUGUAUUUCUAAAGUACAAUUAUGGGCACUGCUAGCUGUACAUCAAUAUUUCUUUUUCCCUUUUUUUCCAUAGUAAUACAUUUGGUGUCAGGCUUAAAGACACUCUGUCAGAGAUUACAUCCACGAGCCAGAUUCUCAGUUGUGUGUGACCAGAGGAUGACGUUUUCAUUUCUGAACUAUGAAUGAAAAUGAUAACAAAGCUAGUGGAGGUGAUGGAAUUCCAGUUGAUCUCUUUCAAAUCCUGAAAGAUGAUGCUGUGAAAGUGCUGCACUCAAUAUGCCAGCAACUUGGGAAAACUCAGCAGUGACCACAGGACUGGAAAAGGUCAGUUCUCAUUCCAAUCACAAAGAAAGGCAAUACCAAGAAUGCUCAGACUACCUCACAAUUGCACUCAUCUCACGCACUAGUAAAGUAAUGCUCAAAAUUCUCCAAGCCAGGCUUCAGCAAUAUGUGGACUGUGAACUUCAAGCUAGUUUUAGAAAAGACAGAGAAACCAGAGAUCAAAUUGCCAACAUCCGCUGGAUCAUGGAAAAAAGCAUGAGAGUUCCAGAAAAACAUCCAUUUCUGCUUUAUUGACUAUGCUAAAGCCUUUGACUGUGUGGAUCACAAUACACUGUGGAAAAGUCUGAAAGAAAUAGGAAUAGUAGACCACCUGACCUGCCUUUUGAGAAAUCUGUAUGCAGGUCAGGAAGCAACAGUUAGAAGAGGACAUGGAACAACAGAAUGGUUCCAAAUAGGAAAAGGAGUAUGUCAAGGCUGUAUAUUGUCACCCUGCUUAUUUAACUUAUAUGCAGAGUACCUCAUGAGAAACGCUGGACUGGAAGAAACACAAGCUGGAAUCAAGAUUGCUGGGAGAAAUCUCAGUUUCCUCAGAUAUGCAGAUGACAUCACCCUUAUGGCAGAAAGUGAAGAGGAACUAAAAGCCUCUCGAUGAAAGUGAAAGAGGAGAGUGAAGUGUUGGCUUGAAGCUCAACAUUCAGAAAAUGACGAUCAUAGCAUCUGGUCCCAUCACUUCAUGGAAAUAGAUGGGGAAACAGGGGAAACAGUGUCAGACUUUAUGUAUAGAAAAUAUGUAAUUCAAGGAAGAAUAUUUAAAUGACAUUUAAUAUUACUGAUGGAUUUCCCAGGUGGAUUCUUUAACAGCUGAGCUACCAGGGAAGCUCUUUGAAGUGUGUAACAUGAUUUUAUUAUCUUCAUGGUUUGCAACUUGCUUUUCUCAUUCAAGGUUAUGUUUCUUAGAUUCAUUGUGCUGCAUGUAGCUGUAGUUUGUUCAUCUUCAAGACUACAUGAUUUUUCACUAAGUGCCUAUAUAGCAGUUUUUUAAAAAAU